rnacentral:rRNA from 1 species
UACGUAGGGGGCAAGCGUUGUCCGGAAUCAUUGGGCGUAAAGAGCGUGUAGGCGGUCCGGUAAGUCGGCUGUGAAAGUCCAGGGCUCAACCCCGGGAUGCCGGUCGAUACUGCCGGACUAGAGUUCGGAAGAGGCGAGUGGAAUUCCCGGUGUAGCGGUGAAAUGCGCAGAUAUCGGGAGGAACACCUAUGGCGAAGGCAGCUCGCUGGGACGUUACUGACGCUGAGACGCGAAAGCGUGGGGAGCAAACAGG